UGGACCAAUGAUGAGAAUAUGUCAUGAACCAAGGAAUAUGAUUAAUCCAAUUCUGUGUACUGGAGGGUCAAA
rnacentral:snoRNA from 10 species